rnacentral:lncRNA from 1 species
CGCCUUUUUACCAUUGUCUCAUGUGCCACGUUGCUCUAUCCAUUGAUGGAUUGAUGUACUCUAGUCACUUUCAACCCAGUUUUGGUCGUCUGUCUUUUUUGUAAUCUGUCAACCUAGCAGAAGUGUAAGACGGGCUUUAGUCAUCUGUUGCACACAAAAGUGCAGCCACAAGUUUAGAAAAGGAGGGUUUUCACUUGUUCGGAUUUUGCCUUAGGUUGGUCUUUGUUGCAAGUUUGUCGUUUGUUUCUUGAAAGCUGGUCUGCUGUAACUUUACCCCCAAAGCCCUCGAGAUAACGAGGCCUCCUGUGGGGACCUAUAUGAAGGGCAACGUGUGUACCAUGCAACAAAUCGUUGGGCUAAAUGCUGUAACUUUUGAGGUGCAAAACCAAGGUCCGCUGUAACCUUUGCCCUGAAAGCCCCGAAAUAAAGAGGCGCCUUGUGAAAUCUAUAUGAAUUGCUUUGUGUGCCAUGUACGACUAAGUGUCGGAGCCAAAAGCUUGCACCGAACCUAUUGGAUGCAAACUGGGGGCUAUGAUUUCAG